GUGUCAGCAGCCGCGGUAAUACAGAGGCCUCGAGCGUUAAUCGGAAUCACUGGGCUUAAAGGGUGCGUAGGCGGCGCUGCAAGUGCCUUGUGAAAUCCCAUCGCUUAACGAUGGAACUGCUCGGUAGACUGCAGUGCUUGAGGUUGGUAGGGGCUGCCGGAACUCUAGGUGGAGCGGUGAAAUGCGUAGAUAUCUAGAGGAACGCCCAAGGCGAAGGCAGGCAGCUGGGCCAAUUCUGACGCUGAGGCACGAAAGCGUGGGGAGCAAACGGGAUUAGAUACCCCCGUAGUCC
rnacentral:rRNA from 1 species